rnacentral:lncRNA from 1 species
UAAACUAUACGAUAAAGAGAUUGGUGUAUUUAUUAAUAAACAUGACAUGUUUUAAUGAAGAUUGAAAUAAUAUCCUAGCUCGAUUUUCUUCUAUUCGAAAAAUCCGUUUUAUGAUCCUGCUUUGCGCGUAGUUAAAUAAUAUUUUAGAACAUUUAUAUGUGAACAAUAACAAGCAUAUACCAUGCGAACAGAAAAAAAAACAGGAACUUGUGGAGCUACAGCAUGCCGAUAAAAACUAGCAAGCUUGGGGAGUGGGGAUAUCAUAUUAGUGUCGUGUA